AAAUGUUGGGCUAUCAGAUUUACACCUUCAAAACAGACCUUCAAAAAUAGCCCCUUAGAGCACUAGGAACACGACAUCAGAACAUUUAGAACUGUCAGAUAUUCUUUGCUUCAACCCUUCAAGUCGAGCUGGGCUCUCGGAUCUGUAAGCAGUUUGGCCUGGCAGUGGCCCUUUAACUGACGAUAAACUUUGAGACAGGAAGUACACCAAUCGUUCGCGGAAACAACUUUACUUCUUCCUUGGCAACUGCCAAAGUUGUAGCUACCACCACACACUCACAGCAAUUUAACAACUCAAAGUUAACUAUAAAUUGGUUUGAAAUGCCUUUGAUUGUCAAAGAUUACACAUGGACACAGACAGAAAUGAUUGUUUACAUAAAUGUACCAUUAAAAGGAGUAAAGGUUGGGAAAGUAGAUAUCUUUUCCACAGACGAAUAUCUGAAGGUACAUUUCCCCCCGUUUUUAUUUGAAGCCUUCCUGUCUGAGCCGAUAGAUGAUGACAAAAGCACAGCAAAAAUUGGAAAUGGAGUUGCAGUUUUCACAUUGCAGAAAAAGAAGGAGAGACUGUGGGAACACCUUGUGAUUAAUAACAUGUGUGUAUCUGUUUUAGAUGACAAAGACAAAUCGAGAGAGAUCAGGGAAAGAGCACUCUUGAAAGCCCAGGAAAAGCUUGCUGCUGAGUCGAAAGCCAAAGCCACGAAAACACAAGAAGAAAGAAAAUAUGCACUGGAGACCAUGAUGAAGCUUGAAGAAGAGGGGAGAGCCAAGAUCCAGAAAAUGAAGGAUGAUGAAUGUGAGAAAGCAACAGCACAGUUGGAGGCAUGGAAACUGAAGCAGAGACAAAUAGCAGAGGAGGAGGCACAACUAAAGCUACAAAGUCAGAGAAUCAAGGUUGACAAACAAAGCAAAUCGGAAAAGAUACAUGUACCCAGAACAUCAGACCAAUGCAAGGUCAAGCAUGAUCAGAAAAACAGUGUUCAAUCAAUCAGCAAGAAAAAACAGGUGGAUUUGCCAGCUCCAAGAUCCACAGGCAACAUUCAAAUCAAGUUCACACCACGAGUGUUUCCCACGGCCCUACGAGAAUCAAGAGUACCAGAGGAGGAAGAGUGGCUUCAGAAGCAGGCCGAGGCCAGAAGGGCAAUACAUGCAGACCUGGCAGAGCUGAAGGACCUGACAGAAGAAGAGAGGAACCCUGACUGGUUAAAGGAGAAAGGAGACAAAUUGUUUGCAACAGGUAACUACUUGGCUGCGAUCAAUGCUUACAGCCUUGCCAUAAAGCUUAACAGAAAGAUUCCUACCAUAUAUUCAAACCGUUCUGCUUGUCACUUGAAACUAAGGAAUCUUCAUAAAGCCAUUGAGGAUUCCUCUUGGGCACUUGAUCUGUUGACGCCACCCGUGGCUGCCAAUGCAAGUGCCAGAACAAGAGCUCAUGUAAGACGAGGCACAGCUUUUUGUGAACUGGAGCUCUAUACUGAAGGUCUGUGCAACAUCAACAAGGGCAUUUCUCAAGCUAUAUGGCUCCCCUUGGCACUUUCUAUUUUAGUUUUAGAUCUCAUUGUUAUUCAUACUUGGACAAGUGAAAUGCAAAAAAGAGAAUAAUUUGCACAAUACACUGCAUCUCAGUGCUAGAAGUGUCACUACAGACACCCUGGUUCGAAUCCAGAGAUGGGUGUUUUGUACUUUACCCUCUGUAACACUGACCUCUGCUGGCUAAAAAGUAGAUUAUUUUGUUUGUUCUGCCCAGAAUGAAAAGCCGACUGGCCUUGUGACUGAAAUAAUGCAGCUGUGGAUAUCCUAGGCUAGGAAGUAGGGAUAGCUGGUUUAGCAGCCUAUGCCUACCAUGGCUGGUGCAGUCAGCUAAACUUUUUUUCUCUUGGAAAUAUUUUCAUAGGUCUUCAAGAUUACCAGGCUGCUUUGACAAUUGAUCCUCAAAAUGAAACUCUACAAGCUGACACACACAAAAUCAGACAAAUCAUCCAAGGGAG